rnacentral:rRNA from 1 species
UACGAAGGUGGCAAGCGUUACUCGGAUUUACUAGGCGUAAAGGGCAGGUAGGUGGUCUGAUUAGUCUGCUGUGUAAGCUCCCGGCUUAACUGGGAGAGGUCAGCGGAUACUGUCAGGCUUGAGUAUGGGAGAGGGUACUGGAAUUCCUGGUGUAGCGGUGAAAUGCGCAGAUAUCAGGAGGAACACCUAUUGCGAAGGCAGCUCGCUGGGACGUUACUGACGCUGGAGACGCGAAAGCGUGGGGAGCAAACAGG